UACAGAGGUCUCAAGCGUUGUUCGGAUUCAUUGGGCGUAAAGGGUGCGUAGGCGGCGCGGUAAGUCGGGUGUGAAAUCUCGGAGCUUAACUCCGAAACUGCAUUCGAUACUGCCGUGCUUGAGGACUGGAGAGGAGACUGGAAUUUACGGUGUAGCGGUGAAAUGCGUAGAUAUCGUAAGGAAGACCAGUGGCGAAGGCGAGUCUCUGGACAGUUACUGACGCUGAGGCACGAAGGCCGGGGGAGCAAACGGG
rnacentral:rRNA from 1 species